CUGAAGAGAUUUUGGAGAAUAGACAGCUGUACAGCAGGAUAUUGGAGCACCAAAGAGAAAGUGCCAGGAGAAUAUGUCCUCUGGAAGAAAACCUGGAAUCUACAGAACCUUCCGAAUUUUUAACCUUCACCCCCACGGCUGCUUCCUCUAUGUGUGAUGAAAAUGUUUAUUCAGGAUGUCUAUGUAUCCUGCCUUAAGAAAUACUGUGAAGUUAUUGAAAUGAUACCUUGCAAAGUAAGAUUAAUCCGAUGCAUAUACAAAGCAAGUAACUAUACUUUUUAAACAAACAAGACAGUUGCAAAGAAUUAGAAAUAGAUAUAACCUAAAUACAAUGAAAUGUUAAAAAAGUACUAAAAAAGAAAGACCUUGUAUUUUUACAAUGUAUUUGCUAAUGUGUAUGAUAGAUGGGUUUGAGGUUUGGUAAAGGAAAUGUUGCUAUUUCAGGA